rnacentral:rRNA from 1 species
AUUGAACGCUGGCGGCAUGCCUUACACAUGCAAGUCGAACGGCAGCACGGGUGCUUGCACCUGGUGGCGAGUGGCGAACGGGUGAGUAAUACAUCGGAACGUACCUUAUCGUGGGGGAUAACGCAGCGAAAGUUGCGCUAAUGCCGCAUACGCCCUGAGGGGGAAAGCGGGGGAUCGCAAGACCUCGCGCGAUUAGAGCGGCCGAUGCCUGAUUAGCUAGUUGGUGGGGUAAAAGCCCACCAAGGCGACGAUCAGUAGCUGGUCUGAGAGGACGAUCAGCCACACUGGGACUGAGACACGGCCCAGACUCCUACGGGAGGCAGCAGUGGGGAAUUUUGGACAAUGGGGGCAACCCUGAUCCAGCAAUGCCGCGUGAGUGAAGAAGGCCUUCGGGUUGUAAAGCUCUUUUGUCAGGGAAGAAACACCGGCUCUAACACAGUCCGGGAAUGACGGUACCUGAAGAAUAAGCACCGGCUAACUACGUGCCAGCCGCCGCCGUAA